rnacentral:rRNA from 1 species
CAGUCGCCGCGGUAAUACCGAGGGUGCAAGCGUUAAUCGGAAUUACUGGGCGUAAAGCGCGCGUAGGUGGUUUGUUAAGUUGGAUGUGAAAUCCCCGGGCUCAACCUGGGAACUGCAUCCAAAACUGGCAAGCUAGAGUAUGGUAGAGGGUGGUGGAAUUUCCUGUGUAGCGGUGAAAUGCGUAGAUAUAGGAAGGAACACCAGUGGCGAAGGCGACCACCUGGACUGAUACUGACACUGAGGUGCGAAAGCGUGGGGAGCAAACAGGAUUAGAUACCCGAGUAGUCCCUGUCUCUUAUAC